rnacentral:rRNA from 1 species
GACGAACGCUGGCGGCGUGCUUAACACAUGCAAGUCGAGCGAGGCCCCUCCUUCGGGAGGGUGUCCUAGCGGCGAACGGGUGAGUAACACGUGGGCAACCUGCCCUCAGCUCUGGGAUAACUCCGGGAAACCGGGGCUAAUACCGGAUACGACCUCCACGGGCAUCUGCGGAGGUGGAAAGUUUUUCGGCUGAGGAUGGGCCCGCGGCCUAUCAGCUAGUUGGUGGGGUAGUGGCCCACCAAGGCGACGACGGGUAGCCGGCCUGAGAGGGCGACCGGCCACACUGGGACUGAGACACGGCCCAGACUCCUACGGGAGGCAGCAGUGGGGAAUAUUGCGCAAUGGGCGAAAGCCUGACGCAGCGACGCCGCGUGAGGGACGAAGGCCUUCGGGUUGUAAACCUCUUUCAGCAGGGACGAAGCGAAAGUGACGGUACCUGCAGAAGAAGCACCGGCUAACUACGUG